AGUGAACGCUGGCGGCAGGCCUAAUACAUGCAAGUCGAACGGCAGCACAGCAGAGCUUGCUCUGUGGGUGGCGAGUGGCGGACGGGUGAGGAAUACAUGGGAAUCUGCCCAGUCGUGGGGGAUAACGUAUGGAAACGUACGCUAAUACCGCAUGCGCCCUACGGGGGAAAGCCGGGGACCGAAAGGCCUGGCGCGAUUGGAUGAGCCCAUGUUCGAUUAGCUAGUUGGCGGGGUAAAGGCCCACCAAGGCGACGAUCGAUAGCUGGUCUGAGAGGAUGAUCAGCCACACUGGAACUGAGACACGGUUCAGACUCCUACGGGAGGCAGCAGUAGGGAAUAUUGGACAAUGGGGGCAACCCUGAUCCAGCCAUGCCGCGUGAGUGAAGAAGGCCCUCGGGUUGUAAAGCUCUUUUGUCCGGAAAGAAAAGCAUUCGGUUAAUACCCGGGUGUUCUGACGGUACCGGAAGAAUAAGCACCGGCUAACUUCGUGCCAGCAG
rnacentral:rRNA from 1 species